AUCCACUCAACUUUCCGCGUGUCACGGCCAACUCUCCCAAACAAAACCUAUUUUCACGCAUUAAAAAAAAAUAGAUCUGUGCACCUCAAACCUCUCCCCUACCUGUUUCUUUCUUCUCCGGCGAGUAAUAACCAACAUCUACUGUCCACCCUUCUUAAAUUUCAUCCUAUUCCAUCAUCCCAUUUAACCUACAUCAUUAACCUCUCAACUUUCAUUUGUACUCAACCACCAUCUCCGAUUAACCCUCGCCGCUGUACUCACCACCAUUCAUCAUCGGCGAACGGUCGUCGACCACCAUACCCACCACUCUCGCCACCGUCGACGGUUGAAAACCACCGCUUGCCGACCAGCUAUCCUCACCAUGCUCAUCACUCUCACUUCAGCUCCAUUCUCUCCUAAGAAAUCGACCACCAGUCACCACCUCUUUUACCAUCAACGUCUCCCACAAUACCAACCACCACUUAACAACCGCCGACCACCUUUUCCGAUCACCACCAACAUCGUCGACGGCUGUCGACCACCUCCUUCAGCACCUCCGAUUACCUCCAUCCGACCAACACCCAUAGCCGAUUAAACAACGAUUAUUUAUAAUCUUCUUCUAAUUUUGAGUUUAAUUCGCGAUCCAGGUGUCGAUCGCUUUUGUCCAUACUCAAUCUCCAUUUGGAUGAAAGUGACUCGAGUUAUUUCAAGACAAGCGUCCAAUGUUGAAGCAACCGCGAAUGAAAUGCUAUACGGUUGCGGUGGAACAAGGCUUAGAAGACUCAACCGCGUCAAAUCAGGGGAGUCUGUUCCAUUUUUGUUGUUGUAUUUUUUGUAGUUCGUUAGUUUCUUGCUCCAUUGAGGACAAUGAAGGAAUUAAGUGUGGGGAGGGGAGACUAGCGUCUAAUGUGUCGUAAUUAGUGUUAGUGUCGUAAAAAAAAAUCGAAAAAAAAAAAUUAAAAAAAAUAGAAAAUGUCCCGUGAAGGUUUUUGCACAAAAUGGAAGAUGAUAGGUAUAAUCAGUUCAUUGGCUUUUCGAUUACUAUAUAUAUGUGAUAAUAAAAAAUCGGUCACACGUCUAAUUUAGGAUAUGUGGAUAGGCCCAGCCGGUUGAAAGGUUCCUUAGAUUUGAUAUAAAACAACUUAAAAUAGGAGUCUUGUGGGUUCCCGCCUUAGGAGCUAUGGUAAAGCUGAAACUGUGGAAGGUAUAAGGGGUACGUCAUAAGUAGAAAACUUAUAAGUUUCUCCGAUUAAACUGGCACACCUGUUUCUUUUUGUGAAAACAAAUCCGAAACAGUGUGGCGCCUUGAAAAAAAAAAACAAAAAAAACAAAAAUUCCAUCCAUUCAUCUGAGCACAUGUAAAAAGAAAAAAAAACGUGAGGUUUAUGGCAUUAACCAUGGGGAUGGUGACUCGUAUGGCGUAUGUCCGCUGAACUGAUCGUAUAUAAAAGCAUGUAAGCUCACAAUAUCAUCCAUUUAUCCAUUAUAAAGUUUAAUCGGAAUAAUAUAAGAGUUUUUUAUAUAAGGCGGUAGAUUAUAAAUCUUUCAAUCUCAUAAGCUUGAAACGGGAAUAGGUGGAGUCGUAGUCUUUUGAGUGUGGGAUUCAUAGAUAACUAUAUAUUACUUGAACUUAAUGGAUCGAAAAUAAGGGCUUCGAAACCGGCGGUUGGGUUUAAGUGGACCGUAUAUCCACAAUCGUGGUUAAUGUGUGAUGUGAUUUGUCUAAUAAUAUAAUUGAAUAUAUCGGAAGCCAUUUGCUUUGAUUGUGAUUCCAUUGCGAAUAAUUUUUUCGGGGACGAAAAAAAAUAAGUGUGGGGAUGUGAUGUGCGGGUGUAAACACGUCAUAUUAUGUAUAGUUUGUGUCGGUUUUAAGCAUUAGAGUGUGUUUAUUCAUAGUGAUUUGUGUACUUAUUGGUUGUCGGGUUUUUCAGGCUUAACAGCGCGUAAAUGCAGUACAAUGACUAUUUAAGCUGGAAAACGGGUGUUACAAGGCAAUACGGAGUGAGGAAGCGGAAAUGCUGGAAACCAUACUCCCUCGCGCCACGCGAGGGAGUCUAUGUAAGGUGUCGCGUGGCGCAACAGGUGGAAGUCAACGAGCAGUCAAACCAUGUUUCUUCGCGCCACGCGAGGGAGUCCAUGUGAGCUGUAACGUGGCGCGACAGUGGUACAGCGCGGAAAAGUGUGAUUUUAACCUAGUUCGAGAAAAAACGUGGAUUAUUCAAUACGCAGCCGCCAGAGGACGAUUGGGAGCACUUUUGGGCGAUUUCUUUUCAUCAUCUUCCAUCUUCGAAGCAACCUGCUCAUGUUUAAUCAAUUUCUGGCAGAUUCUGAAGCAACAAUGACCAUGAUGCGCGGCUAAUUCGCUUGUAACUUCUACUCGGAUGAACUUUUGCUUUGUUUUGCAUUGAACUUUGUUUACAGAUUCUUGUAACUGGUACAGCUUGACCACU